rnacentral:tRNA from 1 species
GGGCCCAUAGCUUAGUCUGGUGGAGCGCCUGUCUUAUAUGGCAACGCUUCCGAGGAGAGCAGGUGGUCGGGGGUUCAAAUCCCCUUGGGCCCA